rnacentral:rRNA from 1 species
UACGGAGGGUGCAAGCGUUGUUCGGAAUCACUGGGCGUAAAGCGCGUGUAGGCGGCGUUCUAAGUCUGAUGUGAAAGCCCGGGGCUCAACCCCGGAAGUGCAUCGGAUACUGGGAGGCUAGAGUACCGGAGAGGAGGGUGGAAUUCCUGGUGUAGCGGUGAAAUGCGUAGAUAUCAGGAGGAACACCGGUGGCGAAGGCGGCCCUCUGGACGGAUACUGACGCUGAGACGCGAAAGCGUGGGGAGCAAAC